rnacentral:rRNA from 1 species
UAGGGAAUAUUGGUUAAUGUGCGAAAGCGCGAACCAGCAACGCCGCGUGUUCGAUGAAGGCCUUCGGGUCGUAAAGCACUUUUUGCAGGGAAGAGGAAGGACGGUACCUGCAGAAUAAGUCUCUGCUAACUACGUGCCAGCAGCCGCGGUAAAACGUAGGAGACGAGCGUUAUCCUGAUUUCCUUGGCGUAAAGCUCGUGCAUGAGGCAUGGCAAGUUGGAUGUGAAAGCUCCCGGCUUAACUGGGAGAGGUCGUUCAAUACUGCCAGGCUUGAGAGUGGUAGAGGGAAG